rnacentral:piRNA from 1 species
UACUGUUAUGCAAAAUGUGGUGACUCCCCCC